CUACUAAAUGCUCCAUUGUCUCUGCUCGGGAGCACUCAGAACAACCUAUUACUGACUUAUGACUUAUCAUCAAGAUAGAAUCUUCUGCCCCUUGGAACCGGCCUCACCUGCCUGGCAGUCAGCAGCCAGGCAUAGUACCUGUGGUCUUUGGGGAGUUACAGGUUCAGAACAAGGUGCAGGGAAUACAAAGGCAGGUUCAUGCGUAGGUCAGGGCGGUUCGCUCAGUUCAGGCCGCACAGGAAAGCCAUUUGCAGGGAUUGAUUUCAAGACUCCUAUUAAUAGCUCCGGAUGGCAAGAACUGUGACCUCUGCCCUGGAUCUUCAGAGCCUUGGGAGCGAAGUGACAGCAGCCAACUGGACCAAACAAGUAUAAAACACAACUUUUGACUAUCCGUAACAAGACCCAAACUUUUUUAAAAAGGCAAG